GAUGAACGCUGGCGGCGUGCUUAACACAUGCAAGUCGAACGGAAAGGCUCCUGCUUGCAGGAGUACUCGAGUGGCGAACGGGUGAGUAACACGUGGGUGAUCCGCCCUGCACUUCGGGAUAAGCCUGGGAAACUGGGUCUAAUACCGGAUAGGACCACAUUUUGGAUGGUGUGGUGGAAAGUUUUUCGGUGUGGGAUGAGCUCGCGGCCUAUCAGCUUGUUGGUGGGGUAAUGGCCUACCAAGGCGUCGACGGGUAGCCGGCCUGAGAGGGUGUACGGCCACAUUGGGACUGAGAUACGGCCCAGACUCCUACGGGAGGCAGCAGUGGGGAAUAUUGCACAAUGGGCGCAAGCCUGAUGCAGCGACGCCGCGUGGGGGAUGACGGCCUUCGGGUUGUAAACUCCUUUCGCUAGGGACGAAGCGCAAGUGACGGUACCUGGAGAAGAAGCACCGGCUAACUACGUG
rnacentral:rRNA from 1 species